rnacentral:rRNA from 1 species
UACGGGGGGGGCAAGCGUUGUUCGGAAUUACUGGGCGUAAAGGGCUUGUAGGUGGCCAACUAAGUCAGACGUGAAAUCCCUCGGCUUAACCGGGGAACUGCGUCUGAUACUGGAUGGCUGGAGUGUGGGAGAGGGAUGCGGAAUUCCAGGUGUAGCGGUGAAAUGCGUAGAUAUCUGGAGGAACACCGAUGGCGAAGGCAGGUCUCUGGGCCAUAACUGACGCUGAGAAGCGAAAGCAUGGGGAGCGAACAGG